rnacentral:rRNA from 1 species
CCCUUAGAUGUUCUGGGCUGCACGCGUGCUACACUGAUUAUUUCAACAAGUGUUUUAACUGGAGAGUUUGCGUAAUCCUGAAAUGCUAUCGUGAUGGGAGUAGAGUAUUGUAUUUGUUAAUCUUUAACGAGGAAUUCCUAGUAAGUGUAGGUUUAUAAGUUGUUCUGAUUACGUCCCUGCCCUUUGUACACACCGCCCGUCGCUACUACCGAUUGGAUGGCUUAGUGAGACCCUCGGACCGAUAGGCUGUCGCUGCAGCAAUGUGGCGACUGGCCCGUCUUGGGAAGAGGGUCAAACUUGACUGUCUAGAGGAAGUAAAAGUCGUAACA